rnacentral:misc_RNA from 1 species
GAAAUGCGAUACGUAGUGUGAAUUGCAGAAUUCAGUGAAUCAUCGAAAUCUUGAACGCAUCUUGCGCUUGCAGGUCCUCCUGCAAGCAUGCCUGUUUGAGCGUCGCCUUCUCCAUCAUCCAAGAAACCCAAAAGUUUCACGUGGAUGGUAAUGGCUGUCAGAUCUGCUUUCCCAGGCUGUCAGCUGAAAUUGGAAGUAGGAGAGUCCGCUUAGAAAACUAUGAUAGUGUGAUUGACGCGCCUUGUGCGUGAUUUUAAGACACUGCUCUGGUUUUCACAGGAUUUCUCCUGCAUUGAUCCCUCACAGGAUCCCAAAUAACUCAUCGACCUCAAAUCAGGUAGGGAGACCCGCUGAACUUAA